rnacentral:rRNA from 1 species
ACUCCUACGGGAGGCAGCAGUGGGGAAUAUUGCACAAUGGGCGCAAGCCUGAUGCAGCCAUGCCGCGUGUAUGAAGAAGGCCUUCGGGUUGUAAAGUACUUUCAGCGGGGAGGAAGGCGAUAAGGUUAAUAACCUUGUUGAUUGACGUUACCCGCAGAAGAAGCACCGGCUAACUCCGUGCCAGCAGCCGCGGUAAUACGGAGGGUGCAAGCGUUAAUCGGAAUUACUGGGCGUAAAGCGCACGCAGGCGGUCUGUCAAGUCGGAUGUGAAAUCCCCGGGCUCAACCUGGGAACUGCAUUCGAAACUGGCAGGCUAGAGUCUUGUAGAGGGGGGUAGAAUUCCAGGUGUAGCGGUGAAAUGCGUAGAGAUCUGGAGGAAUACCGGUGGCGAAGGCGGCCCCCUGGACAAAGACUGACGCUCAGGUGCGAAAGCGUGGGGAGCAAACAGGAUUAGAUACCCCUGUAGUCCCA